ACAACAUUCGGACCGUCAGUCUACCGAGCAAUAUCACCCGCUCGGUGGAAGAUUUGACCAUGGAUGG
rnacentral:pre_miRNA from 1 species